GUCGGGGUCGCAGUCACAUCGUCUCGGGCACACACUCGCCCGCAUCGGCAGUGGGGCAUAACUACUGGAAACGGUAGCUCAAUACCGCAUAACGUCUUCGGACCAAAGUGGGGGACCUUCGGGCCUCAUGACCCAUCAUGGAUGUGCCCAGAUUGUGGAUUUAGCUAGUAGGUGGGGUAAUUGGCUCACCUAGGCGACGGAUCCCUUUAGCUUGGUCUGAGGGAGGGGAUUGACCAGGCCACUAACCUUGGUGGGAANA
rnacentral:rRNA from 1 species